GUGCCAGCCGCCGCGGUAAUACGUAGGUGGCAAGCGUUGUCCGGAUUUAUUGGGCGUAAAGCGAGCGCAGGCGGUUCUUUAAGUCUGAUGUGAAAGCCCCCGGCUCAACCGGGGAGGGUCAUUGGAAACUGGAGAACUUGAGUGCAGAAGAGGAGAGUGGAAUUCCACGUGUAGCGGUGAAAUGCGUAGAUAUGUGGAGGAACACCAGUGGCGAAGGCGACUCUCUGGUCUGUAACUGACGCUGAGGCUCGAAAGCGUGGGGAGCAAACAGGAUUAGA
rnacentral:rRNA from 1 species